GUUUUUUUCAGCCGGCGCCAGAAGGUGGACUCCAAUCCACCUGCCCCACACUCCAGCCAGUCCUUAUGCUCAGAGUCAGCAGAACACAGCUUUUUGCGGUCUAUUGCUUGCACUUAUAGCACAUGGAAGUAUUUGGUGGAAAGUGCAGAUGUGCCUGUCUGUAAGGGUGUUUCUCCUGAACAGUUUCCACUCUUGAAAGGUUUGAAUACAAUCAGUCCUGCUCCUAAAACACUUGGAUGAAAGAAUGGCCUGCAGUGUUUUACGUCAUUUAUACUGGCAACAAAGCUGUGAACUUUCUUCUAUAACACAGACUUGACAAGGGUCAUCCUAACUUUUGUCACCUGUAGGCUGAAUUGCUUUAAUGGGCUUUCUUUAGGACUCAUCCUAGAAGACUAACUUCAAACUGCAUUUAACACUGAAUGUAGCCACUGGCCUUUUCAGUGGGAGCAAACUGCUACAAGCCCCUCAACCAUGGUGCCAAACAUCUUGUUUUCAUUUCCUUUGCAUUUUUAGGUGCAUUUGCCCUACUGUGACAAUUAAAAUGGGCUAUAAUGCUAUGGCUCCAAGUUUUGGGGAUGGAACUACUUUGGAAUGAUAGUGGGAACUUUGCUUUAGGGGUUCCCUCUGUUUGGAAUUUAGUCCUUUUCAUACCAUCUAGAGCUUGGAAGUCCAGAGGGAGUUAUAAAGGUGUAUCUGUUUGCUUUAGCCUUUGGGGAUUUUAUUGUUAGUUCUUUUUUUUCUUUUUGGUUGGUUGUUGGGUUUGUCUUCUUGGUUUAUUCAAAAUAUAGCUCUUAACAUUCUCUUGGCAGCAGCUGGCCUUGUGUGCAGUCUGCAUGCAGCAAUUUAUAACUUUCAAAACAGUAGCUGCUAGGGUUAGAUAAAUCAGUAAAAGUAAUACAUAACUAUAGCCCGCAGACAUUGACUUUGCUCUGCUUCAGGCUAACCCGCUGCUGAUUGCAAGUUCCAAGAUGCUGUCUCAUUUGUCACUGUUCCUGUCUGCCAUGGGAUACACAAAAAAUACCUCGCUGGACACCUAACUGGCCUUCAUUUUAAAUCUCAAGUUAAAGCCCAGUCCUGCUGGGGCUGAUCCAGUACCAUGUCCCAGCUGGAAGUAGUCCAAGACUAGGCUGAGCCAUCUCCAGAGUCUAUAGGAGGAGGGCCCUACCAGUUCAAGUCCAGCUAUAAGGGUCAUGGGAGCAAUAUAUUUUGCUUCAUGAGAUAGAACAGACAGCAGAAACCUGCCUGCAUAACAGACUGCUCUGCUGUACUCUUGGCCUGUUUCAAAUGC